rnacentral:rRNA from 1 species
ACUAAGCGUACACGGUGGAUGCCCUGGCAGUCAGAGGCGAUGAAGGACGUGCUAAUCUGCGAUAAGCGUCGGUAAGGUGAUAUGAACCGUUAUAACCGGCGAUUUCCGAAUGGGGAAACCCAGUGUGAUUCGUCACACUAUCAUUAACUGAAUCCAUAGGUUAAUGAGGCGAACCGGGGGAACUGAAACAUCUAAGUACCCCGAGGAAAAGAAAUCAACCGAGAUUCCCCCAGUAGCGGCGAGCGAACGGGGAGCAGCCCAGAGCCUGAAUCAGUGUGUGUGUUAGUGGAAGCGUCUGGAAAGGCGCGCGAUACAGGGUGACAGCCCCGUACACAAAAAUGCACAUGCUGUGAGCUCGAUGAGUAGGGCGGGACACGUGGUAUCCUGUCUGAAUAUGGGGGGACCAUCCUCCAAGGCUAAAUACUCCUGACUGACCGAUAGUGAACCAGUACCGUGAGGGAAAGGCGAAAAGAACCCCGGCGAGGGGAGUGAAAAAGAACCUGAAACCGUGUACGUACAAGCAGUGGGAGCACGCUUAGGCGUGUGACUGCGUACCUUUUGUAUAAUGGGUCAGCGACUUAUAUUCUGUAGCAAGGUUAACCGAAUAGGGGAGCCGAAGGGAAACCGAGUCUUAACUGGGCGUUAAGUUGCAGGGUAUAGACCCGAAACCCGGUGAUCUAGCCAUGGGCAGGUUGAAGGUUGGGUAACACUAACUGGAGGACCGAACCGACUAAUGUUGAAAAAUUAGCGGAUGACUUGUGGCUGGGGGUGAAAGGCCAAUCAAACCGGGAGAUAGCUGGUUCUCCCCGAAAGCUAUUUAGGUAGCGCCUCGUGAAUUCAUCUCCGGGGGUAGAGCACUGUUUCGGCAAGGGGGUCAUCCCGACUUACCAACCCGAUGCAAACUGCGAAUACCGGAGAAUGUUAUCACGGGAGACACACGGCGGGUGCUAACGUCCGUCGUGAAGAGGGAAACAACCCAGACCGCCAGCUAAGGUCCCAAAGUCAUGGUUAAGUGGGAAACGAUGUGGGAAGGCCCAGACAGCCAGGAUGUUGGCUUAGAAGCAGCCAUCAUUUAAAGAAAGCGUAAUAGCUCACUGGUCGAGUCGGCCUGCGCGGAAGAUGUAACGGGGCUAAACCAUGCACCGAAGCUGCGGCAGCGACGCUGAUGCGUUGUUGGGUAGGGGAGCGUUCUGUAAGCCUGUGAAGGUGUGCUGUGAGGCAUGCUGGAGGUAUCAGAAGUGCGAAUGCUGACAUAAGUAACGAUAAAGCGGGUGAAAAGCCCGCUCGCCGGAAGACCAAGGGUUCCUGUCCAACGUUAAUCGGGGCAGGGUGAGUCGACCCCUAAGGCGAGGCCGAAAGGCGUAGUCGAUGGGAAACAGGUUAAUAUUCCUGUACUUGGUGUUACUGCGAAGGGGGGACGGAGAAGGCUAUGUUGGCCGGGCGACGGUUGUCCCGGUUUAAGCGUGUAGGCUGGUUUUCCAGGCAAAUCCGGAAAAUCAAGGCUGAGGCGUGAUGACGAGGCACUACGGUGCUGAAGCAACAAAUGCCCUGCUUCCAGGAAAAGCCUCUAAGCAUCAGGUAACAUCAAAUCGUACCCCAAACCGACACAGGUGGUCAGGUAGAGAAUACCAAGGCGCUUGAGAGAACUCGGGUGAAGGAACUAGGCAAAAUGGUGCCGUAACUUCGGGAGAAGGCACGCUGAUAUGUAGGUGAAGCGACUUGCUCGUGGAGCUGAAAUCAGUCGAAGAUACCAGCUGGCUGCAACUGUUUAUUAAAAACACAGCACUGUGCAAACACGAAAGUGGACGUAUACGGUGUGACGCCUGCCCGGUGCCGGAAGGUUAAUUGAUGGGGUUAGCGCAAGCGAAGCUCUUGAUCGAAGCCCCGGUAAACGGCGGCCGUAACUAUAACGGUCCUAAGGUAGCGAAAUUCCUUGUCGGGUAAGUUCCGACCUGCACGAAUGGCGUAAUGAUGGCCAGGCUGUCUCCACCCGAGACUCAGUGAAAUUGAACUCGCUGUGAAGAUGCAGUGUACCCGCGGCAAGACGGAAAGACCCCGUGAACCUUUACUAUAGCUUGACACUGAACAUUGAGCCUUGAUGUGUAGGAUAGGUGGGAGGCUUUGAAGUGUGGACGCCAGUCUGCAUGGAGCCGACCUUGAAAUACCACCCUUUAAUGUUUGAUGUUCUAACGUGGACCCGUAAUCCGGGUUGCGGACAGUGUCUGGUGGGUAGUUUGACUGGGGCGGUCUCCUCCUAAAGAGUAACGGAGGAGCACGAAGGUUGGCUAAUCCUGGUCGGACAUCAGGAGGUUAGUGCAAUGGCAUAAGCCAGCUUGACUGCGAGCGUGACGGCGCGAGCAGGUGCGAAAGCAGGUCAUAGUGAUCCGGUGGUUCUGAAUGGAAGGGCCAUCGCUCAACGGAUAAAAGGUACUCCGGGGAUAACAGGCUGAUACCGCCCAAGAGUUCAUAUCGACGGCGGUGUUUGGCACCUCGAUGUCGGCUCAUCACAUCCUGGGGCUGAAGUAGGUCCCAAGGGUAUGGCUGUUCGCCAUUUAAAGUGGUACGCGAGCUGGGUUUAGAACGUCGUGAGACAGUUCGGUCCCUAUCUGCCGUGGGCGCUGGAGAACUGAGGGGGGCUGCUCCUAGUACGAGAGGACCGGAGUGGACGCAUCACUGGUGUUCGGGUUGUCAUGCCAAUGGCACUGCCCGGUAGCUAAAUGCGGAAGAGAUAAGUGCUGAAAGCAUCUAAGCACGAAACUUGCCCCGAGAUGAGUUCUCCCUGACUCCUUGAGAGUCCUGAAGGAACGUUGAAGACGACGACGUUGAUAGGCCGGGUGUGUAAGCGCAGCGAUGCGUUGAGCUAACCGGUACUAAUGAACCGUGAGGCUUAACC